rnacentral:lncRNA from 1 species
GCGUGAUUACAUGGAGACUGUGGACGAGACAAAAGCAGGUGAAGUGAACAAGGAUUUGGUCCUUGCAAAGCAAGAGAAAAAUAGUGAGUAUUGCCUUGAAGACAUUGAGGAGAACUUGUCAGACUCAACGGAUGGUGAUGGCGAAGAGGACAGCUCGGACGAGUGUGAGGACGGGUCCUAGCGGGUGCUGCCAUCACAAGAGUUAUUUUCCAGAGUAUAUGCCAUGCAAAUCCAAAUAUAACGUAGAGAGCUGC